rnacentral:tRNA from 1 species
AAUAGAAGAGUGUGGUGUGCACGUGGAGUUUUGGGUUCCAAGGAGAUAAAUCAAAUUGUUUUCUAUUA